CAACGUAAACAAACCUAGCCUUCAGGAUGGGGACAACAGACGGAAACGACUGCUAAUACCGAAUAAGUUCCAAGAGCCGCAUGGCCCAUGGAAGAAAAGGUGGCCUCUACCUGUAAGCUAUCGCCUGAAGAGGGGUUUGCGUCUGAUUAGCUGGUUGGAGGGGUAACGGCCCACCAAGGCGACGAUCAGUAGCCGGUCUGAGAGGAUGAACGGCCACACUGGAACUGAGACACGGUCCAG
rnacentral:rRNA from 1 species